GACGAACGCUGGCGGCGCGCCUAACACGUGCAAGUCGAACGGAGCUGCGAGAAGCUUGCUUUUCUUAGCUUAGUGGCGAACGGGUGAGUAACGCGUGAGUAACCUGCCCUGGAGUGGGGGACAACAGUUGGAAACGACUGCUAAUACCGCAUAAGCCCACGAUCCGGCAUCGGAUUGAGGGAAAAGGAUUUAUUCGCUUCAGGAUGGACUCGCGUCCAAUUAGCUAGUUGGUGAGGUAACGGCCCACCAAGGCGACGAUUGGUAGCCGGACUGAGAGGUUGAACGGCCACAUUGGGACUGAGACACGGCCCAGACUCCUACGGGAGGCAGCAGUGGGGGAUAUUGCACAAUGGGGGAAACCCUGAUGCAGCGACGCCGCGUGGAGGAAGAAGGUUUUCGGAUUGUAAACUCCUGUCGUUAGGGACGAUAAUGACGGUACCUAACAAGAAAGCACCGGCUAACUACGUG
rnacentral:rRNA from 1 species